AGCGAACGCUGGCGGCAGGCUUAACACAUGCAAGUCGAGCGGGCGUAGCAAUACGUCAGCGGCAGACGGGUGAGUAACGCGUGGGAACGUACCUUUUGGUUCGGAACAACACAGGGAAACUUGUGCUAAUACCGGAUAAGCCCUUACGGGGAAAGAUUUAUCGCCGAAAGAUCGGCCCGCGUCUGAUUAGCUAGUUGGUGAGGUAACGGCUCACCAAGGCGACGAUCAGUAGCUGGUCUGAGAGGAUGAUCAGCCACAUUGGGACUGAGACACGGCCCAAACUCCUACGGGAGGCAGCAGUGGGGAAUAUUGGACAAUGGGGGCAACCCUGAUCCAGCCAUGCCGCGUGAGUGAUGAAGGCCCUAGGGUUGUAAAGCUCUUUUGUGCGGGAAGAUAAUGACGGUACCGCAAGAAUAAGCCCCGGCUAACUUCGUGCCAGCAGCCGCGGUAAU
rnacentral:rRNA from 1 species